rnacentral:rRNA from 1 species
UCCGUAGGUGAACCUGCGGAAGGAUCAUUAGUGAAUUUAGGGUGACUAUUCGUAGUGCCCGACCUCCACUUCUAACACUGUGCACUUAUUGGCGAGAGUUUCGAAUAGUAAGGACGGCGUUCUGCGCCUCACGAACUUUGAAGUCUCUUGCGGCUUUACUUUAUAACUCCAAGUUAAUGAAUGUAACCAAAUACAAAACAAAAAAAACUUUCAACAACGGAUCUCUUGGCUCUCGCAUCGAUGAAGAACGCAGCGAAAUGUGAUAAGUAAUGUGAAUUGCAGAAUUCAGUGAAUCAUCGAAUCUUUGAACGCACCUUGCGCUCCCUGGUAUUCCGGGGAGCAUGCCUGUUUGAGUGUCAUGAACUCUUCAACUCCCCAAUUUCUAGUAGAUUGUGUGGAUGUUUGGAUUUUGAAUGUUGCUGGCUUCUUUUGAAGCGAAGCUCGUUCGUAAUACAUUAGCAUUUCUAAUUCGAACUCGGAUUGACUCAGUGUAAUAGACUAUUCGCUGAGGACACCAAGCAAUUGGUGGCCGUGUUCAAUACAAGAGAAGCUUCUAAUCCCUCUAGUCAUUUUUGAUUUAGACCUCAAAUCAGGUAGGAUUACCCGCUGAACUUAAGCAUAUCAAUAAGCGGAGGA